rnacentral:tRNA from 1 species
UGCUGCCCUGGCCGGCGCCCAGGUCGGCGGCGUCGAGGCCGCCGCCGAGGGUCCAGGUCAGGUCGCGGCUGCCGGACAGCGA